UGCCAGCCGCCGCGGUAAAACCAGCACCUCAAGUGGUCAGGAUGAUUAUUGGGCCUAAAGCAUCCGUAGCCGGCGCUAUAAGUUUUCGGUUAAAUCUGUACGCUCAACGUACAGGCUGCCGGGAAUACUGUAGCGCUAGGGAGUGGGAGAGGUAGACGGUACUCGGUAGGAAGGGGUAAAAUCCUUUGAUCUAUUGAUGACCACCUGUGGCGAAGGCGGUCUACCAGAACACGUCCGACGGUGAGGGACGAAGGCGUGGGUAGCGAACGGGAUUAGAUA
rnacentral:rRNA from 1 species